UACGAAGGGGGCUAGCGUUGCUCGGAAUCACUGGGCGUAAAGCGCACGUAGGCGGCUUUUUAAGUCGGGGGUGAAAGCCUGUGGCUCAACCACAGAAUUGCCUUCGAUACUGGACGGCUUGAGACCGGAAGAGGUAAGUGGAACUGCGAGUGUAGAGGUGAAAUUCGUAGAUAUUCGCAAGAACACCAGUGGCGAAGGCGGCUUACUGGUCCGGAUCUGACGCUGAGGCGCGAAAGCGUGGGGAGCAAACAGG
rnacentral:rRNA from 1 species